CAGUCGAACGAACUUCCGUUAAUUGAUUAUGACGUACUUGUACUGAUUGAGAUUUUAACACGAAGUGAGUGGCGAACGGGUGAGUAACACGUGGGUAACCUGCCCAGAAGUAGGGGAUAACACCUGGAAACAGAUGCUAAUACCGUAUAACAGAGAAAACCGCAUGGUUUUCUUUUAAAAGAUGGCUCUGCUAUCACUUCUGGAUGGACCCGCGGCGUAUUAGCUAGUUGGUGAGGUAAAGGCUCACCAAGGCAGUGAUACGUAGCCGACCUGAGAGGGUAAUCGGCCACAUUGGGACUGAGACACGGCCCAGACUCCUACGGGAGGCAGCAGUAGGGAAUCUUCCACAAUGGACGCAAGUCUGAUGGAGCAACGCCGCGUGAGUGAAGAAGGGUUUCGGCUCGUAAAGCUCUGUUGUUAAAGAAGAACGUGGGUAAGAGUAACUGUUUACCCAGUGACGGUAUUUAACCAGAAAGCCACGGCUAACUACGUGCCAGCAGCCGCGGUAAUACGUAGGUGGCAAGCGUUAUCCGGAUUUAUU
rnacentral:rRNA from 1 species